rnacentral:rRNA from 1 species
GUGAACGCUGGCGGUAGGCCUAACACAUGCAAGUCGAACGGCAGCACAGUAAGAGCUUGCUCUUACGGGUGGCGAGUGGCGGACGGGUGAGGAAUACAUCGGAAUCUACUUUUUCGUGGGGGAUAACGUAGGGAAACUUACGCUAAUACCGCAUACGACCUACGGGUGAAAGCAGGGGAUCUUCGGACCUUGCGCGAUUGAAUGAGCCGAUGUCGGAUUAGCUAGUUGGCGGGGUAAAGGCCCACCAAGGCGACGAUCCGUAGCUGGUCUGAGAGGAUGAUCAGCUACACUGGAACUGAGACACGGUCCAGACUCCUACGGGAGGCAGCAGUGGGGAAUAUUGGACAAUGGGCGCAAGCCUGAUCCAGCCAUACCGCGUGGGUGAAGAAGGCCUUCGGGUUGUAAAGCCCUUUUGUUGGGAAAGAAAAGCAGCAGGUUAAUACCCCGCUGUUCUGACGGUACCCAAAGAAUAAGCACCGGCUAACUUCGUG